AUUGAUAGGAAAAAGUUCCAACUUAUUAUGGCUUAAUAAAUUUCAGUGAAAAUAUUAUGUAAUUAUUAGUGGAAUGAGAACAAAUCUUGUUGGACAAAAUGCACUAGCUGAAUAAGGCUGCAUUUCUUACUUUGUGUCUCAAAAAAUACAUGGAUUAGAAAAUUUAUUCUCAUAGGGCACACAUUUGAAAUUGAUAGCUCUUGAUAUGAU
rnacentral:misc_RNA from 1 species